rnacentral:rRNA from 1 species
CUUUCGGGCGUAAAGCUCUGUCGAGGGGAAAGAAGUGUAUUGUGGUUAAUACCUGCGAUACUUGACGGUACCCCUAAAGGAAGCACCGGCUAACUCCGUGC